rnacentral:misc_RNA from 1 species
UGGCUUACCUCCUCAGUUAUGCGUCAUGACUUGUAUCGUCUUGAGCGUAUUGUGGGUUUCCUGUGUUGCAUACCUAAUAAUGGAAUCGUUUUGGUUGAUUGAAGUCCCUUUUCAUCACGUGUUGCCUUUGCGACGCAUGAUGAACCUCGAAGCGGUCUCUAUGUUCCACCACGUUGAUGCUAGUGUGUUGAUGUUGUGGCCCAUUGAGUGUUGCUUGGUUUCGUGGAUACAGAACAUGAUUUGGGCAUAGGGUCACCUGUGACUCUUGUUUUGUCCUUUAUCAGUGUUCUCUAUAACGACGGUUCAUGCGCGCCUAGGCUCGUACCUGCGCGAUGUUCUUUGUCGAAGAGGAAUGCUACCUGGUUGAUCCUGCCAGUAGUCAUAUGCUUGUCUCAAAGAUUAAGCCA